GACGAACGCUGGCGGCGUGCUUAACACAUGCAAGUCGAACGCUGAAGCCCAGCUUGCUGGGUGGAUGAGUGGCGAACGGGUGAGUAACACGUGAGUAACCUGCCCCCUUCUUUGGGAUAACGCCCGGAAACGGGUGCUAAUACUGGAUAUUCACUGAUCUUCGCAUGGGGGUUGGUGGAAAGGUUUUUUCUGGUGGGGGAUGGGCUCGCGGCCUAUCAGCUUGUUGGUGGGGUGAUGGCCUACCAAGGCUUUGACGGGUAGCCGGCCUGAGAGGGUGACCGGUCACAUUGGGACUGAGAUACGGCCCAGACUCCUACGGGAGGCAGCAGUGGGGAAUAUUGCACAAUGGGCGAAAGCCUGAUGCAGCGACGCCGCGUGAGGGAUGACGGCCUUCGGGUUGUAAACCUCUUUCGCUCAUGGUCAAGCCGCAACAGUGGUUGUGGUGAGGGUAGUGGGUAAAGAAGCGCCGGCUAACUACGUGCCAGCAGCCGCGGUAAUACGUAGGGCGCGAGCGUUGUCCGGAAUUAUUGGGCGUAAAGGGCUUGUAGGCGGUUGGUCGCGUCUGCCGUGAAAUCCUCUGGCUUAACUGGGGGCGUGCGGUGGGUACGGGCUGACUUGAGUGCGGUAGGGGAGACUGGAACUCCUGGUGUAGCGGUGGAAUGCGCAGAUAUCAGGAAGAACACCGGUGGCGAAGGCGGGUCUCUGGGCCGUUACUGACGCUGAGGAGCGAAAGCGUGGGGAGCGAACAGG
rnacentral:rRNA from 1 species